rnacentral:rRNA from 1 species
AAGACCCUGUGAAGCUUAAACUAAACUAUUAAAUCAAAUAAUAGCUACUUUCGGUUGGGGCGACCUUGGAAAAAAAAAGAACUUCCAACUAUAUCUAUUAAGAAUUAAAUAGGCUAACAAGCCAACUAACGACCCAGCACAGCUGAUAAAUGAAAUAAGUUACUCCAGGGAUAACACC